CUUCAUAUUUAGUACAAUCAUGAAUUGAGCAAGAUUUUAUCACUUCAUAUUAUUCAUAAAAGUACACUUAAAAUACAUAAAUGCAUGUUUUUGUUUCAUUUUUUUUAUCUUUUUCUAUUGGGUAUUUUGACUUUUUCAGGAAGAGGAAUGUCUGCGACUAAGUCAAGGGCCACUGGAUAAGGGUUGUUGAUGGCAAAACAGGUUGGAGACUACAUAAGACUUUGACAGUUGGCGGGAAACCAUCAUCAACUGGAGAGAUGCCGGAAGAGGAAUGUCUGCGACUAAGUCAAGGGCCACUGGAUAAGGGUUGUUGAUGGCAAAACAGGUUGGAGACUACAUAAGACUUUGACAGUUGGCGGGAAACCAUCAUCAACUGGAGAGAUGCCGGAAGAGGAAUGUCUGCGACUAAGUCAAGGGCCACUGGAUAAGGGUUGUUGAUGGCAAAACAGGUUGGAGACUACAUAAGACUUUGACAGUUGGCGGGAAACCAUCAUCAACUGGAGAGAUGCCGGAAGAGGAAUGUCUGCGACUAAGUCAAGGGCCACUGGAUAAGGGUUGUUGAUGGCAAAACAGGUUGGAGACUACAUAAGACUUUGACAGUUGGCGGGAAACCAUCAUCAACUGGAGAGAUGCCGGUAAAAAGAUGGCCAUAAAACAGUGACCGCUGAUUCGCAUUGAGUUCUUUCUUACAUAUUGGAUGACCUAUGUUUUUUAUUGUUUAAAUCAUUGCGGCUUGGAAUGCUCUUUAAGAAAAGGUAUGGUUAUGGGGGUGUCUACGCGCAAAAGUUUGACUUUA